rnacentral:rRNA from 1 species
AUGGAGGCAGCUGCCGCAGCCCGCGAGGUCCCGCGCCUGCCGGAGGAGCUCCUCGCGACGAUCAUCUCCCUCACGUCGCCGCAGGACGCCUGCCGCGCGGCCGCCGUCUCCCGGGCCUUCCUCGCCGCCGCGGACUCCGACACCGUCUGGUCCGGCUUCCUGUCCCGCGACCUCCCGCAGCUCGUCGCCGAGGGCGAGCUCCCCCGCGCGCCGCCGUCCAGGAAGGCCCUGUUCCGGCGCCUCUCUGUCACCCCGGCCCUCCUGCCAUGCAAGCUCGUUGUACGCAUCGAUAACAGACUCCCCGUGCCCUCUUGA